UACGGAAGGCAGCAGUGGGGAAUAUUGCACAAUGGGCGAAAGCCUGAUGCAGCUAUGCCGCGUGUAUGAAGAAGGCCUUAGGGUUGUAAAGUACUUUCAUCGGGGAGGAAAAAACAAAACUAAUAAUUUUAUUUCUUGACGUUACCCGAAAAAGAAGCACCGGCUAACUCCGUGCCAGCAGCCGCGGUAAUACGGAGGGUGCUAGCGUUAAUCAGAAUUACUGGGCGUAAAGAGCACGUAGGUGGUUUUUUUAAGUCAGAUGUGAAAUCCCUGGGCUUAACCUAGGAACUGCAUUUUGAAACUGAAAUACUAGAGUAUCGUAGAGGGAGGUAGAAUUCUAGGUGUAGCGGUGAAAUGCGUAGAUAUCUGGAGGAAUACCUGUGGCGAAAGCGGCCUCCUAAACGAAUACUGACACUGAGGUGCGAAAGCGUGGGGAGCAAACAGGGAUUAAUACC
rnacentral:rRNA from 1 species